rnacentral:rRNA from 1 species
AGGUUGCCAGCAUUUAGGUUGGGCAAUCAUAGGUUGACCUGCCGGUGACAAACCGGAGGAAGGUGGGGAUGACGUCAAAUCAUCAUGCCCCUUAUGAUUUGGGCUACACACGUGCUACAAUGGACAAUACAAAGGGCAGCUAAACCGCGAGGUCAUGCAAAUCCCAUAAAGUUGUUCUCAGUUCGGAUUGUAGUCUGCAACUCGACUACAUGAAGCUGGAAUCGCUAGUAAUCGUAGAUCAGCAUGCUACGGUGAAUACGUUCCCGGGUCUUGUACACACCGCCCGUCACACCACGAGAGUUUGUAACACCCGAAGCCGGUGGAGUAACCAUUUAUGGAGCUAGCCGUCGAAGGUGGGACAAAUGAUUGGGGUGC